rnacentral:misc_RNA from 1 species
CGCACCUUGCACUCUUUGGUAUUCCGGAGAGUAUGCCUGUUUGAGUGUCGUGAAACCCUCAACCCCCCUAUUUUGUAAUGAAGCAGGCGUGGGCUUGGAUUCUGGCUGUUCUGCCGGCCCUGUCACAGGGUCAGCUCAGCUGAAAUAUACGAGCGGCUUGUAUUUCGGUACCAUAGAAAGCUUCACUCGGCGUAAUAACAUAUAUUCUCGUCAAGUUGAAUGCAGUCUUAUCGUUAGACGGCGCUUAUAAUUGGCUUCACCUUGUGAAACACUUGAACUUUAGACCUCAAAUCAGGCAGGAUUACCCGCUGAACUUAA